UUUUAUUCCUCCAUGUGAAGUGCAAACACAAGACAAGUAAAAUUAAGUUGCAAAGGCUAGCCAUUCCGCGUUGGCUGCCCUAAUAAAAUUAAAAGCGGUAACAUUUUUCUUUUUUUGGUGUGGCUAGCCACAUUAUACGGUAAGUUGACACACACCAAAGUACCGACCGAGUAUCCUUGACCGAACAAAUAGCUCUGACCACACAACCAUAACUAAGUUACACAGGCGACAUCGUGUGGUCACUAAGAUUUGAAAAUGUGUUCCGUAUUAAAUCAUUAGGGUCUAUUCUGAUUGAUUGAAUUGAGCUGAACUCAAGUGAAAAUAAUCUUAAAAGAACACACCCUUACUUCAUAAACCAUAAUUUCCAUUAUGUAAAAAAAAAAAAAUAAGUAAAAUUAUAAUAGAUCUGAUGUCAUCCCAAUAGCGGUUGUUCACAUUUAAUAUUCGGCAUUGUGAUUCUAAUCUACUAGCCCAACAACCAUCCCAACUAAGAAAUCCACUACUCAAUAAAAAUCAAGCACAAAUCAAAGCCAAUCAAAUCCCCUCUGAUUUUUCCAGCAAAGUUCAAGGUCAACAAUCUUUAGUAUUCUGCAAAUCAAACUUCUUAGGUAUGUUUUGAUUUGAUAUCAUUCAAGAUUCAAUUGAUUUGAUAUCAGUUCUGAUUUUGUAGUUUAAUUUCAAGGGCUAUUUAUAUGAAUCUCUUCUUGUUGUUUGGGACACUCAAAAUCACUCAAAUGCAAGAAAUUCAUGAGAGAGAGAUGAAAUUAGGUGUUGGUGGCUUCACAAAGUCUUACCCAGUUGACUAAUAUCAUUUUUGCGUGCAGUGAUCCCAAUAAUUCUCUCUUUGUCUUUAAUUUUUUUUGGAAUUCCUUCAAUUUUUUUUUUUUCUUCAAAGUUUGAUGAUUAAUUUUUAUCAAAUUUUAAGGAAUGACUAUUUUUUGAAAAUUGGGUUUUAAUCGGGUUUUAUGGUAGUAUUAAUUGGGUUUUUGUUGGUGGGUUUAUCGUUUAAUGUAGAUGGUACACUUGAGGCGGUUUUUUCUGGCUUAUUUGUAGAAUUGUAGCUACCCAUUUGUCUGAUUUGCUUGAUUGGAGCUAUCUAAAUGAGAAAAAAAAAAGUAUUGGGUGUGAGCUACGUACACGCGUUUGUAUAAUAGAAAUUGUGGAAUUUUUUGGGUUUAAGUGUCUCGAAUGUGUUAAUGGGUAGCAAUUAAUUAUAGCCUUUUGUGAAUAAGAAUCUGAUAAGAAAUGAAAAUCGAGUAAGGAAAUGCAAUGGAUUGAAAUUUGUUAUAAAAAGGUGUUAUUUUUAGGUUGGGGUUUAAGUAGACCUGAAUGAAAUUAGUUGAGAUUUGUUAUAUCCUGUCAUUAUAAAGAAUUAUAAGAUUUAAUACAUAAGGAUUUUAAACCAUUGCAUUCAAUUACGCGUACAUCUGUUAGAUUGUUAGGUUUUUGUUUCAAGGAGACAAAGAGAGUGAAUUGAUCACUGACGCAAAGAUGAUGUGAGUCGUGGGUAAGUGUUGUGAGCCAUGUAUAUUCAGCACUAAGCUCUAAGGAAUUGUGAGAAAAGCCCUUCCAUGUUACAUGUUAGUAUAACUUGGUUGGCCAAUACAAGGUACAUAGCUUUCCAGCUUUUAUAAUGAAGGUCUUCCUUUGCAUCAUUCAUUAAAUGAAUAGGCACGGUGCAUCUUUUAUGGUAAUUGUAAUUUUGGUUCGAUCUAUCAGUUCUGGAAAGAUUUAAUAAUCCAUUUAAUAUAAUAAUGUGCUGACAUGUGCCUUUCACCCCAUCAUAGCUUUCCUUGUACUGAAUAAGGUAUUAAAGUUACAUUAUGCAUGUUUGCUUAAUUCAUGUGCACACUUAGUUUUUUAUUUGUCGCUUAGACUGAUUGCUAGAUUUUCAAGUGAAAGUGGACUUGUGGAAAGUGCGGCUCCUUUUUUAAAUUAGGCUUAAAUCCUUCAGCAACUAAAGCAUUUUUGAGCUGCAGAAAUCCCUAUGAAGAAAAAUCGUCACUGAAGGAGGGCAAGAUACUGUAUAAGAUCCGAUGUCUAUGAAUGAUUAUGAAUUUUAUAUUCUGGCUCUGGUUUAUUUACUUGCAUUAAAUGCAAUUAUUUUCAUUAUUGUAUGCCAUUGUAAAUUUUUUUCCUUUUUUUUUAUAUUUGGUUUUUAAAUUAGCCAUUUUCAUAGCUAAGAUACUAGGAAAAUGAUAAAUUGUAACAAUUCUUCAAUUGAGUUCCUGAUAAAUCAUGGACUUGUUGCUAAUAUAUCAUGGUUCCAUUACAUUCUUACUAAACAAUUCUAUACACAAUCUUGUUGUUCAUCCUGCUCAUAUCUGCUAUGGAUUUUUUAGAAUAUCUAUAUAUCGGCAAGGGAAAGCCUUACUUAGUGGCGGCUUUCAACAUACGAACAGCAUAAGAUUUACAGCACUGUGUAGCUUGUUUGAUGAUUUCCUUGUGUAGUAAAUCUAAGUAUUAUGCUGAAAUUAUUAUUUUUACUUUGUGCAGCUUGUUAAUCUACUGUAUAGUCUGUACUUAAUGUUAAAUAAUAGUGUAAAAGGCUUGCUGACAAUUGAUGGCAAACAAAGAGAGACACCCCCCAAAUAAGGGCUGGGCGCCUGGGCUCUUGACUGUAUAUUUGCCUUUUUGUAGAGAUCUCGGUGAAAGAAUUUGAGCAAAGUCACCUUCUAUCUGACUAUUUGUUUACAACUUCAACUGUUAUGUGGAGUAGCUGGGGAGCUAUGAAUGUUGUUUUGUGUUCUAAGUUGUUUAUGGUUGUCUGAUGGGCUAUAAUUUGAAUGUUAUGUUGGAUCAUCUUCUCUGUAUCAUUGUCAAGUGGGUUCGGUCAAAACUUGAUUGCUUAGUAUAGCUUAGUAUUGCUACAUUUUGAGGGCAAUGAAAUAAAUUUUGUGUUGACAUCAUUCUUCUUACUGUUGAUUUUGUUCGUUAUUACCGGUGUGUGUAUACUCUUCCUAUUUUAAAAAUGAUGUAUUAACUAUCUUGUGAGUUAAAUUUUGCAUUGAUUUGGACAAUUGGUUUUGUUCUAACAAUUGAUUGUAUAAUUUACGGAAUACUAUUUUUGCUUAACAUAAAUGUUCUGUUUAGAUUGUAUGGAGGAUUCUGGAGUUAAAAACAACUGUACUAAAGUCUCUACAUGAUGUCAGACUUGUUUGAGUGGAUGUUAGACGUAAAGAAAUCAGAGCUUUGUAUUCUGUGGCAUUGAUUUAUCCUCUGGUAGUCUGGUAUGGCUGCAUUUAUAUUUAAAAAUGUUAUAUUAGUCCGUGGAUGUAUCUUUUUUAUUAUUAAGUUCAUUUAUGUCAUUUUGUUCCAUAUUAGAGUGUAUACGAUUCUCCUAUUUUCUUGCAUUACAGUAUGUUGAUAAUAAUGUUUCAUCGAAAAGUGCAUGUUAUUAAAUAUUAAAUCUAGAAGGAUAAUGUGGCUAUUCAGGUGACUAAAUUUUCCGAGGAGUAUUAAUUUAUUGGCAUCAUGCAUAGCUGAAGUUGUGCUGGUGCUUGAUAUAUUUUCAAUCAGAAAUGUGGGGGCUAUUUGUUUGUUGUACAUGUUCAUUGUCAAUUUGUAGCCCAGGUUAGUCACUCUAGCUUAAAGUUUAGUGGCAUUAAGGAGAUUUAUUUUAUUGGUAAUGAGUUCUAGGCCUGAUAGGCGGUCUCCCUUUAAUUUGAGCACAUUAUUAUGUUAAUGGAUGGGUAUAGGCUCAGAGUUCAUCUUUUUGGAGCAACAGAUGGUAAAUUCUUCUUAGAUAUGUUCUGAAUUAUGUGGCCAUCCUUAUUGAACAGCUUAAAGUGAGGAAUAUACCUAGCUGCUAGCUUCAAUGAGGGCCUAUUCUUCAAUCGUAAUGUUUCUCGGUUAAGGUUUUAUUUCUUGCUAUGCUGACAGAGUAGCUAAAUGAUGGAAAUUUAAAACACAUUCAACCCACAAUGUCACUGAAUUAUUAAUAUUGAGGUCUCUCAUGAUGGCUUGAGGGUUAAAAGUUCUGCCUUCUUUUGUCCGAUUUUAUGUUUAUUCAAACCUAUACACAUUUGACUUUUAGAGGUUUCAGCUUACCUAGGAUAUUUAAUGACUAUCAUUUGUGGACUUGAUGGCGUACCCUACCUCCAACAACAACAACAACAACAACAACCACAACAACAACAACCACCACAACUACAAUAAGGAAGCCUUAGUCCCAAAUGAUUUUGGGUUGGCUAACAUGCAUUCUCAGAGCAUAGCAAGACAAUUGAUUUGGUGUACUCUGGCUCCAUGACUUGAUGAUGCUGUUUAUCAUGUGUAGGAGUUGAUAUGUUUUCUAUUCUUUCAUUUUAAUGCGUGGGGGAAAGCAGAUGUUCAAGUGCAUUUCAACGUCAUGGCAUGUCCAAGCUAUUCAAUUCUGAGCACAUUAUUAUGUCAUGGAAUGGGAUUUAGGUUCAAUGCUCAUCUUGACAUGGUACAAAUACACUUGGAUGAGAAAUGAUCUUGCAAAGUUUAAUUCAAUUAACACUGUCUCUUCCUCACUUCACAUAUGAACGUUUCCUCAAAUGUCCAGGUAAUAUUUAUACCUUUUCUCUCUCUGUUUUUUUCCUAUCUCGCAAAUACAUGAAAAAAAAAUCUAUGAAUAGACUGAGAAGUGAAGAUAGAGGGAGAUAUGGUAUCUAAUUGAUGUUAUUACUUCCUGAUCUCAUUUAUUUUUGGCUACCGAAAACAAUUCUAGAACUUGUUUAUUUCAUGUUCGUUGUCGUAAAAAAAGAAGGAAAUAAAUUUUCUUGUCUACAAAUCUUGAUAUCAAGUAUUGAAGUCUUUGAUAUUCACUAUUGCUUGUUCAAAUAUCAAUUUGAUGAAGAAAAGGUAAUGACAUUGGUUAGUUCUAAAGUAGUAAUGUUGCUUGGAUUAGGUUCUAUAAUUUUUUUACCUUAAUGCGGAAAUAGCUUACUGAUGGAAAUUUGGAAUAGUUUGAGCCCAGUUGCUACCAGUACCAGUUUUGAAUGCUUUGAGAGUUGAAAAUUAUAGUUCUGUCCUUAUUCUACUUUCUUGUUCGUUUCUUUACAUCCUCUUGUUAAAUGAGGGUUUCAGCUUUAACUAGGCAAUAUAAUCUUCUGGUUGCUUAUGGACUUGAUGGUGUAACAGUGCCCAUGGAAGAAAUAUAUUGAAGGCAUAGCGUUCAAGUUAUUAUCCCCAUAUCUUCACCUCACUGUGCAGGAUUUUUUUUAAUUAAUUAAUUUAUUUAUUUAUUUAUAAUUACAUUAUUUAUUACUUAAUCUAGUAGUAUAAGUGGCUAUCAGUUAUCUAGCUCGAUGACAAAAUUUUCUUUAUACUUGUUUAGCAUGAAACCAUGACUGUUGUAGAAGCUCUUUAUCAUUGCAGAAGUGGUGAUGGGGUGGAUCUCUGUUAAAUUGAGCACAUGAUUAUGUUACUAGAUGGAGUUUAGGUUCAGUGUUCAUCUAUUUGGUGCAACAAAUGGGGAGUACAGUACUACAGUAUUGCUCAGAUAUCUUUUAUAAUUUGGCCACCUUAAGGUGAGAAAGGAUAUCUUUCGAAGAGUCUACUAUUUGGCAUGGUACUACUGCUACACUUGAUUCAGAAAGGAGUUUGUGAAUUGAAAUCGCUGGACUCAACCACGUGUUGCCCUGUAUAACAACACUAGGCUAUCUUACAUUUAAUUUCUCUUGUUUAUUUUUUUUAAGAAGAUAUUUUGAUAACAAAUCUACCUUCAUUAUGACCCUAUAGAGAAGAAUGAAUAGAAAAAAUGGAAGGAAAAAAGGGAAUUAAGAUAUCUCAUUUACUUAUAGGUUACAGCUGCUGUUAUCUGAUGGCAGUUUCAUGUUUGUUGUCAUAUCACUAGACCAGAAGUCAAAGUAUUAUCAUCUAUAUUAUUUGUCAUAAAGUUACUAUCAUAUUCUGUAGAAGUCUUAUACCCAUCCUUUUGAAGUCUUUUACCUUUUGUUCUUGUUUAUAAGUUCAAUUAUUUGGAUAAAAGAAAGUGGUAAUGGCAAUUGCUAAAUGUUGCUUGUGAUAAGUUUAAUCCUGCCAUAGUGUUGAGUUGCUAACUGAUGGGUUCGGCAGUUACGUCACCAUAUGAUCAGUAUUGAGAUCUUUCUUUAGAGUUGAAUUUACAGUUUUGUCUUUUGUCUGCUGAUGCUGUUUAUCAUGCAUAGGAAGAGUUGAGAUGUUUUGCUAUGUUUUCAGUAAAAAAUGUGGGGGCAAGCUGAUGUUCAUUUGUACUUCAACCAUUCAACAUCAUGCCAUGUAGUCCAAGCUCUUCAAUCUGAGUACAUCAUUAUGUCUCUGCAUGGCGCUUAAGGUUCAGUGUUCAUCUUUACUUGGUACAGAUACAUUUGGUACUAUCUCUUCCUCACUGUGAACAUAUCUUGAAAGCAAGUGAUCUUAAAUUGUUUCCUGCACUUUUCUUUUAUUUAUUCUUGCUUAGAUAACAGCCGUACUUUUUAUGUUUUGUUAUUUUAUUUUAUUGUUCUCCAUCUUGUGAACACCUAUGAUGAAAGUGUGAGAAAGGAAGAUAGAGGAUAGUAGGGUAUCCUUUUUAAAAUUUAUUUUUAAGAGAGGAUAAUAAGGUAUCUUAUCUCCCGAUCUCAUUUAUUUUUAGCUACUGUGUCCAAUUCUAGUUUAGUAGUUUUGUGUCCAUCGUUGUAAAAAACGAGAAGCCUAAAUUUUCUUGUUUGACAUAUUUGUCAAUUAAAGUCUUGGAAUUGCAUUUUCAAUAUAUCAAUUUUUUUUUAAGGAAAGGAAAUGACAAUUGUGAGCUCAAACGUUGGCUUGAUUAGGUUUAGCUUGUUGCCUUAAUGUGGAAGUAGCUUACUGAUGGGUAUUGGUUAUAGCUUGAGCCUGAUAUGCUUACUAGGAUUGAGGUCUCACUAUCUAGGGUCACCAUCUAGAAUUAAUUACUCGUGUAUGCCUUAUGAGUUAUGAUAAAAUCAUGACAUAGCUUCGCCUGAUGAAGCGGAGGUUCCAGUUUAGACUUUAGAGUGUUUUAAGUCUUCCUUAUCCAUUUUGAUGUCAUAGCACCGGCACAUAGUUAACUCAUGUCUUCAAAUACGGAAAUCUCUAAUUUCAUGAUCUAGGAUAAUGUUUGGAAUAAUUACACGUGUACGUGUGUAUGCCUUUAAUAAGAACAUUACAAAGUUUCCCAUCAUGAAGCUUCAGGUUGAGAGUGUGUUUUGUGUUGAGUUCUUAAUUCCUUAUUCUUCGAGUCUUCCUUAGACGUCUGGAUGUCGUAGCACCAGCACGCACAUAGUGAACUCAUGUCAUCGAAUACUGAAAUUCCUAAUUUUCUUUCUGAGACCUAUAAAUUGCUGACCAAACACUACUUAGUUUCUUCUGUUAAUCAAAAUACAUGUGCCCAUCAAAAUCACAAUCAAGUAAUAAGGCCUUUUUAGGGUAGCAUACUUAAGCUUAAGGAUGCUUUUUGCGUAAUUACUUUCUGAAGACGAGUUGCUCUCAGUUUUCUUAGUGUGAAUAAAGUUUCAAAUUCAUUGAAUCAUACUUUUAAGGUAGGUAAUAUCAUUGUUCACAGCUCAAAGUUUUAAAGCAAAUAUGUAAUAAAUGGUAACAAAUCAAUUCUCUCAUUUACACUUGUUACUUUAUUAGUACAUUUUUAUUACUGUAUUAUCAAGGGUAAAAUAUAUUGUUUUUCUCCAUCUUGAUUUUUUUUUUUAUUUUUUUUUAAUAAAUCCAUCUCAAAGUGACGUGGGUUAUUCUAUGCUUGUUAAAAAAACAUCCAUCUCAAAAUGAGCUGGUGAUUCUAUCCUUGUAAUAAAAAAUCCAUCUCAAAAGAUGGGGUGAUCCUAUCCUUGUAUUCUAAACCCUAGUCCAUCAACCUAGUCAAAGUUUUCUAUAUAAAUGGUUUACUUGCUCUCAUUUUUUAUCUCACAACUCUUUCUCAAAUUCUAUUUGUUACCCUCCUCUCUCUUUAUUUUUCUUGGUAAUUAAUCUACAGAGUAGUAGGUUUUCAUGGAGAUCCACAAGGAUCAGAUAGCUUUUAUGCUGCCUGCCAUGAAAUGUCCAAGGAAGAAGAAAAGGAGGAGUUUUAUGCUCUUAUCAUAUAUCAUAUUGCAUCUGCAAUUCACCAAAGCGGCCUAUGUUGAAGAGAAGGAUUGGAUUUGUUGAUGCCAUCAGACUCAUGCCAUUAGUACCAGAUGUUGUAAUCGUUAUAACAACACAAACUGGAAUAUGAUGUCUAGGCUUGUUUUCUUAUUCUCAUUGAUUUUACACUGCAUGAAGAUUUCAACUUGAGUGUUUGAAAUUUUGGGAUGCAGUUGGUGCAGGCUCAGGUCAUUGGCGGUGGGAUGAUAUGGCUGGGCUUUGGACUGACCAAUUCGGAAGGCUUGGGGGAUCUGUCCUCAUGUUUUGGGUGGCAUCGGGCUCCCUUCGCUAUCUAUACAAUUCUUGGUAACAGGCCUGAUCUUUUUAACUUGGCCAUGUCAGGCAUUUGUUGAAGAAAUCAUCGUCUUGAAUGCCCUACAAUUUUACCUUGUAUCUCAAGUAGUCGAGGAUGUGUUGGUUUAAUAUCACUCUUAAAUGGAUUGCAAAUGAAAUUUGUAUCAAAUAUUGUCAAUUUAAGUUAUCUAUGAAAGUUUGUGAGGUUAAAUCUGUAUUCUCUUUUGAUGGAGUAUCUCAAAGAGCAGUGGUGUAACAAUGUUCCAUUCAAAAGUUGACUGAAUGGAAAUUUAAAGUUGUAACUUGUAUACUGUUAUUUUUAAUGUAGAGAGAGCAACAUAGACAAUGAUUUAGAUGAGAUUUGAUCUCAAGUUUUGAAUAA